UAGGGAAUUUUCCGCAAUGGGCGAAAGCCUGACGGAGCAAUGCCGCGUGGAGGUGGAAGGCCUACGGGUCGUCAACUUCUUUUCUCGGAGAAGAAACAAUGACGGUAUCUGAGGAAUAAGCAUCGGCUAACUCUGUGCCGG
rnacentral:rRNA from 1 species